rnacentral:rRNA from 1 species
UACGUAGGGUGCGAGCGUUGUCCGGAAUUAUUGGGCGUAAAGAGCUCGUAGGCGGUCUGUCGCGUCGAAUGUGAAAACCCGGGGCUCAACUCCGGGCUUGCAUUCGAUACGGGCAGACUAGAGGUAUGCAGGGGAGAACGGAAUUCCUGGUGUAGCGGUGAAAUGCGCAGAUAUCAGGAGGAACACCGGUGGCGAAGGCGGUUCUCUGGGCAUGUCCUGACGCUGAGGAGCGAAAGUGUGGGGAGCGAACAGG